AUUGAACGCUGGCGGCAGGCCUAACACAUGCAAGUCGAGCGGGGUCUUCGGACCUAGCGGCGGACGGGUGAGUAAUGCGUAGGAAGCUGCCCGAUAGAGGGGGAUACCAGUUGGAAACGACUGUUAAUACCGCAUAAUGUCUACGGACCAAAGUGUGGGACCUUCGGGCCACAUGCUAUCGGAUGCGCCUACGUGGGAUUAGCUAGUUGGUGAGGUAAUGGCUCACCAAGGCGACGAUCUCUAGCUGGUUUGAGAGGAUGAUCAGCCACACUGGAACUGAGACACGGUCCAGACUCCUACGGGAGGCAGCAGUGGGGAAUAUUGGACAAUGGGCGCAAGGCUGAUCCAGCCAUGCCGCGUGUGUGAAGAAGGCCUUCGGGUUGUAAAGCACUUUCAGCGAGGAGGAAGGGUGGUGUGUUAAUAGCACAUCAUUUUGACGUUACUCGCAGAAGAAGCACCGGCUAACUCUGUGCCAGCCGCCGCAGUAAGAC
rnacentral:rRNA from 1 species